AUUGAACGCUGGCGGCAUGCCUUACACAUGCAAAUCGAACGGUAACGGGCCUUCGGGUGCCGACGAGUGGCGAACGGGUGAGUAAUACAUCGGAACGUGCCCGAUCGUGGGGGAUAACGAGGCGAAAGCUUUGCUAAUACCGCAUACGAUCUACGGAUGAAAGCAGGGGACCGCAAGGCCUUGCGCGGACGGAGCGGCCGAUGGCAGAUUAGGUAGUUGGUGGGAUAAAAGCUUACCAAGCCGACGAUCUGUAGCUGGUCUGAGAGGAUGAUCAGCCACACUGGGACUGAGACACGGCCCAGACUCCUACGGGAGGCAGCAGUGGGGAAUUUUGGACAAUGGGCGCAAGCCUGAUCCAGCCACGCCGCGUGCAGGAUGAAGGCCUUCGGGUUGUAAACUGAUUUUGUACGGAACGAAAAGCCUUCUUUUAAUACAGGAGGGUCAUGACGGUACCGUAAGAAUAAGCACCGGCUAACUACGUG
rnacentral:rRNA from 1 species